rnacentral:rRNA from 1 species
GAUGAACGCUGGCGGCGUGCCUAAUACAUGCAAGUCGAGCGAACAGACGAGAGCCUGCCUGCGCUGACGUGAGCCGCGGGCGGGUGUGUAACGCGGGGGUAACCUACCGAAAAUACGGGGAUGACUGCGGGAAACGGGAUCUUAUAGCGUAGGAUAUAUUGUAGGACAGGGUUCAGGAAUGAAAUACGGUUUGGGUGUCACUUGUAGCUUGAUCCGCUGCUCGUGAGCUAGUUGGUAAGGUAACGGCUUACUGAGGCAACGAUGGGUAGCCGAUCUGGGAGGGUGAACGCGGCCACUGGAACUGAGAGACGGCACAGAGUCCUACGGGAGGCCGAAGUAGGGACUCUUCGGAACUGGGCGAAAUACUGCAGGAGCAACGCAGCGUGAGUGCUGAAGGUCUUCGGAUCGUAAAACUGCGUUCUUAGGGAAGACUCCUUGCGUAAGUAACUAUGCACGUUUUGACGGUACCUAAUCAGAAAGCCACGGCUAACUACGUG